rnacentral:rRNA from 1 species
AUUGGACGCUGGCGGCAGGCCUAACACAUGCAAGUCGAGCGGCAGCGGGAAAGUAGCUUGCUACUUUUGCCGGCGAGCGGCGGACGGGUGAGUAAUGCCUGGGAAAUUGCCCAGUCGAGGGGGAUAACAGCUGGAAACGACUGCUAAUACCGCAUACGCCCUACGGGGGAAAGCAGGGGACCUUCGGGCCUUGCGCGGUUGGAUAUGCCCAGGUGGGAUUAGCUAGUUGGUGAGGUAAUGGCUCACCAAGGCGACGAUCCCUAGCUGGUCUGAGAGGAUGAUCAGCCACACUGGAACUGAGACACGGUCCAGACUCCUACGGGAGGCAGCAGUGGGGAAUAUUGCACAAUGGGGGAAACCCUGAUGCAGCCAUGCCGCGUGUGUGAAGAAGGCCUUCGGGUUGUAAAGCACUUUCAGCGAGGAGGAAAGGUUGAUGCCUAAUACGUAUCAACUGUGACGUUACUCGCAGAAGAAGCACCGGCUAACUCCGUGCCAGCCGCCGCGGUAACAC